GGAAAAUAUAUGGAAGAGGUGUAAAAUAUUUGUUCGCAGACAGAUGAGAAGUAGAAAAAGAAAUAUACAUCGUAUUUGCAUUGCGUGGCAGUCGACCGUAAGCGUUUGCUUUAGAGAAAUUCGCAAAGCAAUACCGACAAUAAAGAUACAGAGAUCGACGUGAUUAAGUCGUCGAAGUCCCAAUCGUAUGUUCUAUAUACACAAUGAGAUGUUACCCGACGUGUAAUAGACAUGAAAAAAGAAAUUUGCAACGUA